rnacentral:rRNA from 1 species
AACGAACGCUGGCAGCAGGCUUAACACAUGCAAGUCGAACGCCCCGCAAGGGGAGUGGCAGACGGGUGAGUAACGCGUGGGAACGUGCCCUUCGCUUCGGAAUAGCUCCGUGAAACUGGGAGUAAGACCGGAUACGCCGCAUGGGGAAAGCAUUAUCGGCGAAGGAUCGGCCCGCGUUAGAUUAGCGAGUUGGCGGUGUAAUGGACCACCAAGGCCACGAUCUAUAGCUGGUCUGAGAGGAUGAUCAGCCACACUGGGACUGAGACACGGCCCAGACUCCUACGGGAGGCAGCAGUGGGGAAUCUUGGACAAUGGGCGCAAGCCUGAUCCAGCCAUGCCGCGUGAGUGAAGAAGGCCUUAGGGUUGUAAACUCUUUCGCCGGAGAAGAUAAUGACGGUAUCCGGAGAAGAAGCCCCGGCUAACUUCGUGCCAGCCGCCGCAGUAACAC